rnacentral:rRNA from 1 species
ACGUAGGGUGCAAGCGUUGUCCGGAAUUAUUGGGCGUAAAGAGCUCGUAGGCGGUUUGUCGCGUCUGCUGUGAAAUCUGGGGGCUCAACCCCCAGCCUGCAGUGGGUACGGGCAGACUAGAGUGCGGUAGGGGAGAUAGGAAUUCCUGGUGUAGCGGUGGAAUGCGCAGAUAUCAGGAGGAACACCAGUGGCGAAGGCGGCUACCUGGACCAGCACUGACACUGAGGCACGAAAGCGUGGGGAGCAAACAGGA